UACGAAGGGGGCUAGCGUUGUUCGGAAUCACUGGGCGUAAAGCGCACGUAGGCGGAUCCUUAAGUCAGGGGUGAAAUCCCGGAGCUCAACUCCGGAACUGCCUUUGAUACUGGGGAUCUCGAGUCCGGGAGAGGUGAGUGGAACUGCGAGUGUAGAGGUGAAAUUCGUAGAUAUUCGCAAGAAUACCAGUGGCGAAGGCGGCUCACUGGCCCGGAACUGACGCUGAGGUGAGAAAGCGUGGGGAG
rnacentral:rRNA from 1 species